CCCAACUCUCCAUCAGCACCUCUCCACACUCCUCCACUCAGGCAGAAACCAGAGAAGGAGCAGGACAGCAAAAAGGGACAGGACUGCGGUAAAGAAGAGAUACUUCAAGAGAAUGUGACUGGCUAGACUGAAAGUGAGAGGGGAGAUUUUCCCCAAGAUCUUCAGAUGUGGAGACCUCAAGAUGUUGUGUAAUGACUGGGAAAAAAAGAAAGAAAAAAAUAAAGGCAGGUGAAAUAUUUUAAAUGAAGUAUAUAACUGUAAGGAGUAUGUUCAUAUAGUAACAUUUUCUGAUCUUCAUAAUGUUGGCUGAGUGGAAGACUUUGGAGGUGCUUUACUUCUAAAGAAUCACUUGCCUGGAUUUCAGCAACUGCCUUUUUGAAAAGCCUGCAAAAAUGCUGAAACCCCUGUGUAAUCAAAGGGAAGGGCAGAGAAGAGGCAAGGAGCCUUUUACUUCUGACAGCGUUUCAUCUGGUUGCCUGAGGUAUCUACUGCUGUGGAGAGGGAGGGAAGGACAGCUAAAUCUCAUUGCUGUGCCCAAGGAUAAUGCAGGAGAACUUUGCGCAUUUUCUUGAAGGAGAUGUUGUUUUGGUGCACUGAAUUGAACAAAACAAGACCAAAUGAAACCAAAUAGUGCUGAGCACCAGGUCCUCGUUGCUUGGUAGAAGUCACCCGGUAAUUUUACAGAUGCUGAGUCUCAACCUUCAGCCCAUAAGGUGUCUUCUGUAAUAUGAGAAUUUGUCAGCUGGCUUUCAUAGCCACGUAGCCCUGCUUUCCGAGUGUGGUGGAGAACGACAAUCAAAUGAGAGCUGUGCAUCUCAGCCGUCAAGGGCCUCACCAGAUGCAAAAAACUUAAUCUCAAGGCACUGGAGAUCUUAAACCUUAUCGAACGCGGCAGCCUUCAGCUCCGAGCCUCAGGAAUUGGAGGGAAACGUCCUCACCUGCCUGCAUGGAAAAGUGUGUCAUCCCAUUUUCUGAGGAGCAAAAGUUCAUGCCAACAUGUGUUGCAUGGGAGGCAUGGGUCUUUGGGGGGAAAGGGCACGGUGACGGGAGGUACAAGGAAUGGUGGAGCACUCUCAGUGGUUUUUUUUUUUUGCUUCCUUCCCCUCGCACCCAAAUAUUUCUGUUACUUGCAAAAGGAGGUCAGGUGGUGCGGCUCUCCCCUGGAUGGUUUUUAUAUCGCACAGAUCCACCACUGUGUUUCUAAUAAAGCCAUCAAGAGCAUAACCAGGAGCUCCCUGCAUGGGCUUAAGCAUUAUAAGUCACUGCUUCAGAUGACUCUCUCAACUUGGAGCUGGAUGGACUGAAAAAUCUUCCAAGUUAUUCUCCCCUAAUUCAAGUCAGCUGAGGCAUCAAAAUGUUGGGCAGAUGGACAAGAUCUCUGGCUGGAGCCAGCCUAUUUUCUGCUGCUGCUAGGGCUAUUGCAGUCAACACUUAGCGAGGGUGUGGGUUUUUUUUUUUUUAAAUCAGUGAGCUUUUGAGAAAUUAGCCAUUACAUAAGCACAUUAAAGGAGAUUCCUGUGUGCUUUCUAAUGUAAGAGCCCAUGCUCUAAGGAUCCUACCUUGUCCUAAACUGGAUUAGGCCAUGCUACUUACCCCAAAAACAUAGUUUUCCUUCUCUCCUUUCCCUCUUUCUUUCUCUUUAUAUUGUUAUUAAGAAUUAUUGCAUCUAAAGACUGUGACGAAAGGAUAGUCAUUAUUACAGUCACUUGGCCAAGACAUAGUGAGAAUUAUUUUCUUGGCAGUUGUAUUUUCUCAGAAUUAUUAAACCCAACCAUGCUAACCUCGGGGGGGGGACUCUGCUGGGAAGACUCAAGAGAACGGAUAAAACAAGCGAAGCACACCCCAGGUUCAUACUUGCUAUUUUUGUCGUGAUUCUUACAGUUGAAAAGAAACCCUGCCUUUGCUUCUCGCAUCCAGUGGAGGGCAGUUAAGUACCACGAUACAGAGCGAAGCUAAAUUGCACCACGGUGUAACACUCUCAAGGAGGCAACCGAUGAUUGAAAUUAACUGUUCUUUGCCUAUGUGAUAUAUCACUUAGAAAUACCUGAAGAAUUAAAAAAAAAAAAAAAAGGAAGAAAUUGAAAGCUUUUCAAUUUAAACUGCUUUUUAAACUGCUUUGUUAGUAGAGCAGGAGUGGAUCUAAAAGUUUCUUCAGCAGUUGAGGUUAAAAAAAAGUCUUAUAUCCAUAUACACAAGUUUCAAGUGUUUCCUUUUUAUAUGGUAAUCAGAAUUUCCAGUAUAUGGAUGCUAAUGAAAUAAGUUCCUGAUUUUCCUUUUGCUUCCUGACCUCAACAGUCUUUAGGUUUUAAUACUAUACUCAUAAUUUCGGUAUGAAGAAUAAUUUUUAAAGGCCAGUCUUUCUUUCUUGAUGUCUCAGCUGUAUCAGAAAGAACAAGACAAUUCUCAGGCACUGGGAUUGCAAUGUAAAUAUAGCCAUCAUUGAAACUGUGACUAGUUUUGAAACAUUCCCCUCAAAGAAAAGUUUAAAACAAACAUUCCAAUCAGAAACAGAAACCUAACCACGUUCCUCUUAAAAACGGGUCUCCUCCAACUCCGCCAGUUUAUAGCACGUACCCUUGGGCUGUUGCAGUCCAGAAAAAUCUGAAAUAAAAACCACACUGUUUUCUGGGUCUGAUCAUGCAUCGCUUGGUCAACAAAAAGUUUAGGGCCUCCCAAGACAUGCAAGGUUUAGGCCUUCCUGACACGUGUUGUUUCUUUUUAAAGAAAAGUUUUAGUGUGUCUUUAUUGCAAAUGUACCAUUUUAGUUUCAUUCCCUUUAAAAGGAGUCACAGGUGGACUGAAAGAGAAAGCUUUAAAAAUGUUUGCAAUUGCAGUUGCACAUAAACAUUAUUAUGGUCAGCAGCCUAGUUAUUUUUCACAUUAGUAGAGUUAUUUACUUUUCUAAUUUUGUUUGCUUCCCAUUGCUGCUGUAGUAUAAGAUCAGGCACAAAUAACUGCUUACACCGAAAAUUAAGUUUCUGUAAGUAACUAUUUCAAAAUGGUUGCUUUUAUGUUUACUGCUGAAGGAUCUCAAGCACUGCUGCCAGAAAGGAAAGUAUUUAUUAUCUCUCUUUUACAGAUGAGGAAACUGAGACACUGUGAAAUUAAAAGCUUGGGGAAAUAAGUACACAGUAAAUUACGGUGUGAAUUUACUGUGUACUAACCACCCUGCACGAACUCAUCAUGUGGACUGGCAAAGAAAAAGGAUUAAACUCCCUUAAAUUAUCUCACAUUUGCCAUGGACAGACAGUUACCAUGGAUCAACUGACAAGCAGCAACUUCUUAACCUGCAGCGAGUCGUUCACACAGCGAAUCCCCUCGGAGGAGAGGAGCAGAUCCAUGGGGCACUGUGCUGACUAGUUAAUCUGCUGCAACUUUAUGCAAGAGUUUAUUAGUCACUAAUUUCCCCAACUGGCCAGAUCCAAAGUGGUUUACCUAAAAAUCGCAGAAGGAAAUCUCUGGCAGAACUCAAAGUCAGACUCGCGUAUCCUUGCAACCUGGAAAGCAGAAGCUGUGAGUUAAAAGCAAAAUGUCAAGAGGAAGUAAACUUUGUCCUUUUUGAAGGGCAAAGUAUCUGUAGGAUAUGUCCAGGCAGUGUAUGGGUUAAACUGGUGAAUUAGAGUGGUGGAAUCAAUAGGUGAGUCUUUGCAUUUGAGAACCACCCUAAUAUCUCAGGACUUUUGGCGUUAAAGCUGCUUCCAGCAUUGUGGCAGCACCUUACAGCCCAGGCCAGCAAACCUCAGGAGUUUGCUCUGCAGAGCCACACGGCAUCUGUCUGUCCUGGGAACGCCAUCAGACACCUCCUGCAGCCCCUCGGCUGGGUUGGGUCCACACGUGUGUGUGCACGGCACCCUGCCUGCACGGCAACCUGCUUGCCAAGUUUCCUCGCAUCUCGACAGUGCCCCUUUUGGAGAGCAGAGCCACUGGACGUGACCAUCGCAACCCUGGACACUGCUCCCUGGUCCCGACAGUGACCUGCGGGCUCGGGAGGCAGCUGGAGAGGCUCCAGGAGUGACCUCCUCGCCCUGCAGCAUGCUAAAUGGCUGAUGUUGAAAUGACUUUGGCAGGAGCACUCCCCAUUGUGUCUGACCUAAGCUGGAGAGAGGAACAUGUAGGGAGCUGGGACAAGGGUUGGCUGGUGGGAAGACAAUUACUGACAAGUUCAUUCCACUAAUAAACAAAGACAUAAAUGAUGACACUAUAAAGAAGAAGCAGGAUUCUCUGGAGAAAGCCCUAGAGAGACCUAGUAAGGAGGAGAGAUCUUUAGAUGACAGUUCUACAUUGCACCACUUUGUAAAAUAUGGUCUAUUUUAGCUCCAAGCUUGAGUCCAGUUAGAGCUGCAUCAGGGCUUAGGAAACAGCGUGUAUUUUAAUGCCCUGUGAAGGGGAAUAGCUGAUAACUAGUACAUGUAAAUGUGAAAAGCAGAACUUUUCUCUGGGGGAUAUAUAUUUUUUUCCUUUUUAUGGAUUUAUUCGUCAUAGUUUACAUUGCAGCUAUAGCAUUCCACUAGCAGUCAUUUAUCUAAUGACUUACAUCUUCGGGGCUGUGGAAAAUGCAGGAUAACAGAGAGUGAGCAAGAAAGUGG